UCAGAACCACAAAAAUAUGAGGCCUUGGUCAACACUGGUGCGCAGUGUGCAUUAAUCCCGUGAAAUGUGGGGGCAGAAUCUGUUUCUGUUGCUGGUGUGACAUGGGGAUCAUAGCAUUUGAACCUGCUGGAAGCUGAUGUGAGCCUGACUGGAAAUGAAUGGAAGAAACACCCUAUUGUGUCUGGCACAGAGGCCCCAUAUUGGGCACUAAAAAAUGCAUUUGUCCUGGUUUAGGGUAAGUUUGGGAGAAAACCUCUAAAGGGGUUUCUCUAGAAAGCAGAUUCAAGUGGCUUCUCCCCCAGCUGGUUCAGGAAGAUAUUUUCUCAGAGAAAAGUGGAUUUAUUUAACAGGCAAAACAUUCACCAGCACAGAAAAUGAACAAUAUUAGAAAAUAAAACCUCUUGCCACUCUGAAGACAUGACAAACUCAGAAAGCAGAUUGCCACUCUGAACAGUUGACAAACUCAGAAAGUCUGCUUUGUGGGCUGUAGCUCAGCUCGCUCUGUGAUCAGCCCCUCCGGUGCUGGAAAUGCCGCGGCUCGGCCCAGCCCGGUGGGCCGCAGGUGGAGCUGCUGGUGCUUUUCUGGGUGUUCAAUCCAGAGCAGACUUGAACAGGUCCAAGAAAAUAAAAACCACAGUCCAGGGAACUUCUCCAGCUCAGCUAGCUAAAACUAACUAAAAACCAAAGCAGAGCUCUCUCUUCCUGUCUGUCUGGGCCUGAUGGGAUGCAUCUCAGAGAACAGAAGUAGAUGGGGGAUGUUAUGGCAGGAAUUUUCUCCAUCAGCAAUCAAAAAUCUGAAAAGUCUGAGGAACUCCUCACUGACCCAUGCUGUGAGGCAGUGACCCAUGGGCACUGGCCCAUGCUGUUCCAGUUUAAGGUAUGAGAGAGGACCCAGGAACCUGUAUACUGGUGAGUCUAGCCUCAGCGCUUGAAAAAUUGUGGAGAAGAUGGGUAGACUGGGUGCCACCAAAAGACAUUUAAAGAACAACUCAGUCAGGCACAUUCAGCAUGUGUUCAGAAAGGAAAGUCCUGCUUAACAAAUCUGAUCUCCUUCAGGAUAAGGUCACCCAUCCAAAAUGAAGGGAACGUGGUGGAUAUGUUGCUUUUUGGCAUUUAGUGAUGCUUUUGUUACUGUCCCUCACAGCAUCUUUGUGUACUGAACAGCUACCAGCGGUGUUCCUCAGGGCCUUGCUCCGGAGCUGGUCAAUAUUUUGGUCCAUUAUCUGGUUGUGGGAGUGGAAUGCCCCAUUAGCAAGCUUGUUGAUAAUAACACAUUAGGAGGUGUUGUUGACUCACUUGAGAGACAAGAAGCCUUGCAGGGGGAUCUGGAUAAAUUAGAGCAUUGAGCAAUCAUCAGUGGCAUGAAAUUUAACCAGUCCAAGUGCUAGGAGGCAGUAAUGCCUGGCACAGGUCUCAGCUGGGAGAGGAGUGUGUGGUGAGCAGCCCUGCAGGAAGACAUCUGAGGAUGCUAGUUGGCAGCAGGCUCAAGUAAAGCCAGCUGUGUUCUCAGGCAACCAAGAGGGCAAGCCACAUGAAACACAUCAAAAAAAACACAGCCAGACAGUCAGGAGUGGGGAUUGUCCUGCUGUGUUCAGCACAGGUGCAGCCUCACCUGGGAACACUGCUGGGCCACACCACUGCAGGAGCAUGCCAAGGUCCUCGAAUGCUUCCAUAGGAGGAAAACCAAGCUGGGGAGAACGCUGGAAGGUUGAGGAUCAUCUGCUUCCAGGAUUACCUCAGCUAUGGAUUCCAGAUGGAAAAUGCACAUCAACAAAUUCUCCAGCCUAUACAAUCCAUUAAGACUGGCUUUUAUAGUGGACCAACCUAAUAAAGUCUACCCUUGGAUAACCUUA